rnacentral:rRNA from 1 species
CCUACGGGGUGCAGCAGUGGGGAAUAUUGGACAAUGGGCGAAAGCCUGAUCCAGCAAUGCCGCGUGUGUGAAGAAGGCCUUCGGGUUGUAAAGCACUUUCAGUGGGGAAGAAAGCCUUGUGGCUAAUACCCUCGAGGAAGGACAUCACCCACAGAAGAAGCACCGGCUAACUCCGUGCCAGCAGCCGCGGUAAUACGGAGGGUGCGAGCGUUAAUCGGAAUUACUGGGCGUAAAGCGCGCGUAGGCGGUCUGAUAAGCCGGUUGUGAAAGCCCCGGGCUCAACCUGGGAACGGCAUCCGGAACUGUCAGGCUAGAGUACAUGAGAGGAAGGUAGAAUUCCCGGUGUAGCGGUGAAAUGCGUAGAGAUCGGGAGGAAUACCAGUGGCGAAGGCGGCCUUCUGGACUGACACUGACGCUGAGGUGCGAAAGCGUGGGUAGCAAACAGGAUUAGAUACCCUAGUAGUC